CCUUGGGUGGUGAAAAUGGUUAAUAUGUUUGGCUGCUAACCAAAAGGUUGGAGGUUCGAGUCUGCCCAGGA
rnacentral:tRNA from 1 species